rnacentral:tRNA from 1 species
GGAGCAGUGCCAGAGCGGCUGAAUGGCAGCGUUUGCUAAACGACUGAGAGGCUAAAGAGUCUCACGUGGGUUCGAAUCCUACCUGCUCCGCCA